CUUGGUCAUUUAGAGGAAGUAAAAGUCGUAACAAGGUCUCCGUUGGUGAACCAGCGGAGGGAUCAUUAAAGAGCACACGCUCCAAAACCCCUGUGAACCUCUACCAGUCGUUGCUUCGGCGGGCAGCCCCAGGGCGGGGCUGUAGCCUAUCCAGGCGCCCGCCGGAGGUCAAAAAAACUCUGUUCUAGCGGUAUCUUCUGAGUACAAGACACUAAAGUUAAAACUUUCAACAACGGAUCUCUUGGUUCUGGCAUCGAUGAAGAACGCAGCGAAAUGCGAUAAGUAAUGUGAAUUGCAGAAUUCAGUGAAUCAUCGAAUCUUUGAACGCACAUUGCGCCCGCUAGUAUUCUAGCGGGCAUGCCUGUUCGAGCGUCAUUUUCACCCCUCAGGCCCAGCCUGGCGUUGGGGCUUCUGCGGCCGCCUCAGGGCGCCGCAGGCCCUCAAAUACAGUGGCGGGCUCGCUGGGGCCCCGGGCGUAGUGAUCUCUCUCGCCCUGGGUCGCCUCCGCGGGUUCUAGCCGUGAAACAACCCACUUAGAAUCUCUGACCUCGGAUCAGGUAGGAAUACCCGCUGAACUUAAGCAUAUCAAUAAGCGGAGGA
rnacentral:rRNA from 1 species